AGACACCUACGGGUGGCAGCAGUCGAGAAUCAUUCACAAUGGACGAAAGUCUGAUGGUGCAACGCCGCGUGGAGGAUGAAGGCCCUAGGGUCGUAAACUCCUGUCAUCGGAGAGUAAGCCUUGGUCGUUAAUAGCUUCCAAGGUUGAUAGUAUCCGAAGAGGAAGGGACGGCUAACUUCGUGCCAGCAGCCGCGGUAAUACGAAGGUCCCAAGCGUUGUUCGGAAUCACUGGGCGUAAAGAGUAUGUAGGCGGUUUGGAAAGUCAGAUGUGAAAGCCCGAGGCUCAACCUCGGAACUGCAUCCGAUACUCCCAGACUUGAGUAAUGGAGGGGUAACUGGAAUUCUCGGUGUAGCAGUGAAAUGCGUAGAUAUCGAGAGGAACACUCGUGGCGAAGGCGAGUUACUGGACAUUUACUGACGCUGAGAUACGAAGGCUAGGGUAGCGAAAGGGAUUAGAUACCCCUGUAGUCCUAGCAGUAAACGGUGCACGCUUGGUGUGGGAGGAUUCGACCCCUUCUGUGCCGGAGCUAACGCGUUAAGCGUGCCGCCUGGGGAGUACGGCCGCAAGGCUAAAACUCAAAGAAAUUGACGGGGACCCGCACAAGCGGU
rnacentral:rRNA from 1 species